GUUUUAAAACAUUUGCCAACUAUUGAAUGUUAUAAUUGGUAGUUUGAGAGUAUUGACACUAACUGGCAUUUAAACUUUUCGUAUUCUCUUGAACACGGACUUCGAUUUUCAUGAAACGCAUUUCCAAAUUCAAAACAGAUAUUUAUUAAGAACCUGAUCUCAUGGCCAAUAAUACACCUAGAUCUAUGUUGAAUGUCUCAUUCAGUGCAGAAUAUUCUGGGGACGAAUUUACACCGAGAUCUCCGUGGAGCUACAUUCGAUCGCAUCAUCCAAGUGGCUUUUCCAGAGAACACGGUCAAGACCACAAAUCUAGAAGUACAGAACGCAACCAAUUCCGUUCACCGCGGUCCAAAACAAAUUCACCUAAGAGACAAAACAGUCGAAAUUUGCGAAAUACAAGAUCUAGAAACGGCACAAAACGUGCCAUAUCAUCCUCCCAACCCCCGACUACCAGGCGUAGUUUUGAUCCUACGGACAACAGACAUCUUUGGACAAUGUGGAGAAUAUCUAUUACAGGAAAAAUUGUCUCGGAUAUUAUGAGCAGGAAAGAAAGGAAUAUUAGCACAAAAUAUGUACGAACACUAAGGCGGCCCCCAGCAGGCCUUGCAAAAAGUAUUUACAUAUCGAACCAAACCCGACUAGCAGCUUAUUCUUUGAUGAAUUGUGGAGACUGUCCGGAUAACACAAUCCUAACGCGAGAUUUUAUAUUUUUUGGUAUUCCUAGAGUUAUUUUAAAUAAAGGGGUCCAUUAAUUUCUUUUUUAAAAAGCUUAAUGUUCAAAGCUGUACCACUGACAACGAAGCAAAUUUUGAAUAAUAAAUUAUAAUUGAGUUUUAUGAUAAA